rnacentral:tRNA from 1 species
AGUUCUUUAGUAUAUUUUGAGUAUGAUUGAUUUCCAAUCGAUUGGUUUAAGGAUUA